rnacentral:rRNA from 1 species
UACGGGGGGGGCAAGCGUUGUUCGGAAUUACUGGGCGUAAAGGGCUCGUAGGUGGCCAACUAAGUCAGACGUGAAAUCCCUCGGCUUAACCGGGGAACUGCGUCUGAUACUGGAUGGCUUGAGUUCGGGAGAGGGAUGCGGAAUUCCAGGUGUAGCGGUGAAAUGCGUAGAUAUCUGGAAGAACACCGGUGGCGAAGGCGGCAUCCUGGACCGACACUGACGCUGAGGAGCGAAAGCCAGGGGAGCAAACGGG